rnacentral:lncRNA from 1 species
ACUCCCCUCUCAGCCACCGGAAAUCGCCUACGGCGGCAGAUCUUCCCCUAAUGACUACAAAAUUUGACCACUUAAUCUUCAUGCCAUCCUCGUACUUAAUUCCACACCAGCUUCCUCGGAAAAGUUCCUAAGCUCCUCGAAUUUUAGAUCUUAGAACCAAAGAAAGAAAUAAUAAACCUAAUCUUUGGCUACCCCUUUUUAAUACCUUACACGCCUGAGCCCAUCUCGAGUUAAUCUUAUACCAAACGACUAUCUUCAAUGAAUACUUUCGAUUGUUAUUUGUUUCACGUCAUUUUACGGCGACUAGAUCUUGAUCAAACCUCCAUUGAUUGGACAAGAGCUUUGAAUCCUCCGCUGCCUUAUUUCUCCCGCCCCGAUGUGGUAGUCGAUAUCAUUACAUAUAGCAGUAGCUCUGCCUUUAGGUGCGAGCCAGUUCUCAUGUUACGAUGUCAGCUAUCAUCCAGUGAUUUCCUGGUUUCGUCGGUUUCAAAGGUGAUCCCUUUCUAUUCUUAAUGAUAAAACCUAUUAAAUCUUUUUGUGGUUUGUUAAUUCCCCUUGUUGAUUCAGUGAUAUGAUAGCUAUUUAUGUUUAUUUGUUCAAAUUAGUUUUAUGU